rnacentral:rRNA from 1 species
UACGGAAGGUCCGGGCGUUAUCCGGAUUUAUUGGGUUUAAAGGGAGCGCAGGCCGGCGAUUAAGCGUGACGUGAAAUGCCGCGGCUCAACCGUGGAAGUGCGUCGCGAACUGGUUGUCUUGAGUGCGUACGACGUGUGCGGAAUUCGUGGUGUAGCGGUGAAAUGCUUAGAUAUCACGAAGAACCCCGAUUGCGAAGGCAGCGCACGAGUCCGCAACUGACGCUAAAGCUCGAAGGUGCGGGUAU